rnacentral:rRNA from 1 species
UACGAAGGGGGAGCUAGCGUUGUUCGGAAUCACUGGGCGUAAAGCGCACGCAGGCGGAUUGAUAAGUCAGGGGUGAAAUCCCGGGGCUCAACCUCGGAAUUGCCUUUGAUACUGUCUGUCUUGAGUUCGGGAGAGGUUGGCGGAAUUCCUAGUGUAGAGGUGAAAUUCGUAGAUAUUAGGAAGAACACCAGUGGCGAAGGC